AUAGCUAUUUCCAUUCCUAUUUAAUUUUUAAAUUUAAAAUUUAAAUUUAAAAUUUAAAUUAUAAAUUUUAAAAAUUUAAAAUUUGUAAUCAUAAAAUUAAAAUUUAAAAUUUAAAAUUUUUAAAUUUAAAUUAUAAAUUUUAAAAAUUUAUAAUUUGUAAUCUUAAAAUUAAAAUUUAAAAUUUUAUAUUUCUAAAUUUAGAUUUGAUCUUAAAUUUAAAAUUUGAAAUUGAAAAUUUAGAACUUUGAAUUUUCUAAUUUGAGAUUUCUAAAUUCAAACUUUAAUUUUGUAUUUUUAAAAUUUAAGAGUUAUAUAUUUAAAUUUAAAAUUUUAAAAUUAAAGACAAUAUUAUUAUUUUCUAUUUAUAACUACUCAUUACCCUUCUUAUUCUACUUAUUACAACCAAACAUAAUUUUGCUUAUAUCUGUACUAAAUCAAUACUCAACCAAACAGAAAAUUACUUUAUACCUAUCUUAUACCUUAUCUUAUACCAUAUAUAUAUAUAUAUAUAUAUAUAUAUAAGCAUAUAGAAAU
rnacentral:lncRNA from 1 species